rnacentral:rRNA from 1 species
UUCCAAGAUACAAAGUGCCAACGGUGGAUGCCUUGGCGUCUACUACCGAUGAAGGACGUGUCUGGCUGCGAAAAGCCACGGUCAGCUGCCUAGAAAGCGUUACGAACCGUGGAUGUCCGAAUGGGGAAACCCACCACCUUAGCGGGUGGUACUCCGGUGUGAACACAUAGCACCGGUAGAGGGAACCAGGGGAAUUGAAACAUCUCAGUACCCUGAGGAAAAGAAAACAAACGUGACUCCCUGAGUAGCGGCGAGCGAAACGGGAAUAGCCCAAACCUGAUUGGUGUCAAAGCCUGGUGGCGUUGCCAAUUGGGGGUUGUGGGACUCGAGAGACGGAGCACCAGAGCCGUCACAGAGUUACCAAGUUGAUGCGUAGUGGAAGUGGUCUGGAAAGCCACGCCGCAGUGGGUAAUAGCCCCGUACACGAAACGUAUUCAGCCUCUGCUCGAUCAUCCCAAGUAACGCCGGGACCGUGAAAACUGGCGUGAAUCUGUGAGGACCACCUCAUAAGGCUAAGUAUACGUAGACGACCGAUAGUGAACCAGUACCGUGAGGGAAAGGUGAAAAGUACCCCGGGAGGGGAGUGAAAUAGUACCUGAAACCGUUGGCAUACAAUCAGUCAAAGCGUCGUCUUGACUUCGGUCAAGGCCGUGAUGGCGUGCCUUUUGAAGAAUGAGCCAGCGAGUUACGGUACGUGGCAAGGUUAACCAGUGAUGGGAAGCCGGAGCGAAAGCGAGUCUGAAUAGGGCGUUCAGUCGCGUGCUGUAGACCCGAAGCCGAGUGAUCUAUCCAUGGGCAGGUUGAAGCGGGGGUAAGACCUCGUGGAGGACCGAACCCACCUAGGUUAAAAACUGGGGGGAUGACCUGUGGAUAGGGGUGAAAGGCCAAUCAAACUCGGUGAUAGCUGGUUCUCCCCGAAAUGCAUUUAGGUGCAGCGUCGUGUGUUCAGUCAUGGGGGUAGAGCACUGAAUGGGUUAGGGGGCCUACAAGCUUACCGACCCCAAUCAAACUCCAAAUACCAUGACUCCAGAGCACGGCAGUGAGACUGCGGGGGAUGAGCUUCGCAGUCGAAAGGGAAACAGCCCAGACCGCCGGCUAAGGCCCCAAAUUCUAGACUAAGUGGAAAACGAUGUGAGAUUGCCCAGACAGCCAGGAGGUUGGCUUAGAAGCAGCCACCCUUGAAAGAGUGCGUAACAGCUCACUGGUCGAGUGAUCUUGCGCGGAUAAUGUAACGGGGCUCAAGUCUAGAGCCGAAGCCGCGGAUUCACGAUUUAUCGUGAGUGGUAGGGGAGCGUUGUAUGUGCAGCGAAGCGGCGGUGUGAACCAGUCGUGGAGCGCAUACAAGUGAGAAUGCUGGCAUGAGUAGCGAGAGAGGGGUGAGAAACCCCUCCGCCGUAAGCCCAAGGGUUCCUGGGGAAGGCUAAUCCGCCCAGGGUAAGUCGGGAGCUAAGACGAGGCCGAUAGGCGUAGUCGAUGCACAACUGGUUGAUAUUCCAGUACUACCGUGUACGCGCCCAAGACAAGUUCUGGUUGCUAAGGGGCUAUCUCCUUCGGGAGAUGAACCGACCCACCGGAAGGCGUUUAGCAAUGAGGGGACGCAGGAGGGUAGGUGAGCCCAGGCGAUGGUUGUCCUGGGGUAAGCGCGUAGGGCGAGGUCUAGGCAAAUCCGGACCUCAUGAAGCCUGAGACGCAAUGCCGAUCCGUUUAAGGAGAAGUCACUAAUCCCAUGCUGCCUAGAAAAGCCUCUAGCGAGCUUACAUGGUACCCGUACCCCAAACCGACACAGGUGGGCAGGUAGAGAAUACCAAGGCGAUCGGGAGAACUGUGGUUAAGGAACUCGGCAAAAUGCCUCCGUAACUUCGGGAGAAGGAGGACCCCAUUAGGGUGAAGGACCUUGCGUCCGGAGCUCGAAGGGGUGGCACAGACCAGGGGAAAGCGACUGUUUACUAAAAACACAGCAGCGUGCGAAGUCGCAAGACGAUGUAUACGCUGUGACGCCUGCCCAAUGCCGGAAGGUUAAAGGGAAAGGUUAGUCCGCAAGGGCGAAGCUUUGAACUGAAGCCCCGGUGAAUGGCGGCCGUAACUAUAACGGUCCUAAGGUAGCGAAAUUCCUUGUCGGGUAAGUUCCGACCUGCACGAAUGGCGUAACGACUUUCCUACUGUCUCAACCACAGACCCGGCGAAAUUGAAGUACGAGUAAAGAUGCUCGUUAGCUACAGAAGGACGGAAAGACCCCGUGGACCUUUACUAUAGCUUGAUGUUGAGUUUUGUUAUGUGUUGUGUAGGAUAGGUGGGAGACUGGGAAGCAUUGGCGCCAGCCAGUGUGGAGUCAACCUUGAAAUACCACCCUGCUCAUGACGGAGCUCUAACCCACGUCCCUUAUCGGGAUGGGGAACAGCGUCAGGUGGGUAGUUUGACUGGGGCGGUCGCCUCCUAAAGAGUAACGGAGGCGCCCAAAGGUUCCCUCAGGCUGGUUGGCAAUCAGCCGUCGAGUGCAAUGGCACAAGGGAGCUUGACUGCGAGACCUACAAGUCGAGCAGGUGCGAAAGCAGGGCAUAGUGAUCCGGCGGUUGCGUGUGGAAGCGCCGUCGCUCAACGGAUAAAAGGUACCCCGGGGAUAACAGGCUCAUCUUCCCCAAGAGUCCAUAUCGACGGGAAGGUUUGGCACCUCGAUGUCGGCUCAUCGCAUCCUGGGGCUGAAGCAGGUCCCAAGGGUUGGGCUGUUCGCCCAUUAAAGCGGUACGCGAGCUGGGUUUAGAACGUCGUGAGACAGUUCGGUCCCUAUCCUCUGUAGCCGGAAGGAACUUGAGAAAGGCUGUCCCUAGUACGAGAGGACCGGGAUGGACGCAGCUCUGGUGUGCCAGUUGUCCUGCCAAGGGCAUUGCUGGUUAGCUACCUGCGGAAGGGAUAAGCGCUGAAAGCAUCUAAGUGCGAAGCCUGUUUCUAGAUGAGGUUCCUCACUGGGUUAACCAGGUAAGGCCCGUGAUAGACCAACACGUUGAUAGGCCGGAGGUGUAAGCGUGGUAACACGUUCAGCCGACCGGUACUAAUCGGCCGAGGUCUUGGAUUU